CCAGCACCUGCAGAAAUCCACAAAGCGAGCUCCUAUUCUCUCUCUCUCUCUCUCUCUCUCUCUCUCACACACACACACACAGAGAGAGAGAGAGAGAGAGAGAGAGAAUGAAUAGGAGCUCGCUUUGUGGAUUUCUGCAGGUGCUGG
rnacentral:miRNA from 1 species